AAAAAUACAACAACAAUUUUUAUUUGGCAUAAAACAACAAAUACUAAUAUCACACGAAUAUCGCCGGAAAAAAAACAAAAUACCGCCGGAAAAACUUAAAAUAUCACCGGUCGAUAUUCUCACAUAUUCUGACGGUAUAAUCAAUUAUCACGACGGUAUUUUCGUUUUUCACCGGCGGUAUUCCAAUUAUUUCCGGCGGUAUUAUACUAAUGAGAGUUCGUAGGAUAAUAACUACCUCUUGUGG
rnacentral:lncRNA from 1 species